rnacentral:rRNA from 1 species
GCAAGUCGAACGGUAAGGUCUCUUCGGAGAUACACGAGUGGCGCACGGGUGAGGAACACGUACACAAUCUACCUUAUACAGGAGGAUAGCCCCGGGAAACUGGGAUUAAUACUCCAUGGUCUUUAAAGAACACAUGUUUUUAAAAGUAAAGCUCCGGCGGUAUAAGAUGAGUGUGCGUCCCAUUAGAUAGUUGGUGAGGUAACGGCUCACCAAGUCCGCGAUGGGUAGCUGGCGUGAGAGCGCGACC